GUGAAAUCGUGUUGUCUGUCACGGCAGUUCUUAUGGCAUUUGGCGCACUACAUGUAUGCAUUUUUGACCUUUUGCAUGUUAUUCAACGCAUUUGAUCAUGUGUCAAUUUACACCAAGAUCUCCGGUUCACAGCACUAACCCUCAGUACAUGGUAUUUGACACGGCGUGAACAUACACGCAGAAAGCUUCUGAUGCGUACAGAUCACACGCCAAUAAAAAGUGGAGUAUAUUUACGCGAGUCAUGAUAUCAUGUUCCACUUAGCAGUUCAUCACUGGGGGCCAGAACCUGCCUACACACCGCUUUUAAUUGGCGCGUUAUCUGUACGCAUUAUAAGAGUUCCACGUGUAUGUUCACGCCGUGUCAAAUACCACACAUUGAGGGUUAGUGUUACAGUUAGUGUUAUGUGAACCAGAGAUCUUGGUGUAAAUUGACACGCAAUCAAAUGGUGUUGAAUAACACACGAAAGGUCAAAAAUGCGUACGUAUAGCACGCCAAAUGCCACAAAAACUGGUGUGACAUGCAACAUGAUUUCAUGAGAUCAGUCUCGCUGAGUGAGUUCCUCAGACAACAGAAGCCUGGUAAGGAGGAGGGGCUAUCAUGGAAAGACAAGCCCCUGCAUGGCAUGUACCAAACUGAAGAGGUGACAGAGAAAACAUACCAGUGGAUGGAAAAGGUUGGACUGAACGACAGCACAGAAGGACUACACAACAACAGGCCCUGAAUACAAGAGCAAUAGAGGCUGGGGUCUACCACAGCAGACAACACCCCAGGUGCUGCAGGACUGUUCUAGCAGGUACAAGGAACAACAUCUGACAUCUCCAUCCAGAAGAGUGCAGUCCUGGGAGCAGAUAAAAAUCAGGCUCCUAGGCCUGUGGCCGAGGACCUGAGCCUGAAGGAGACACAGCACCACCCAGUGUGUAAAGGAAAGAGUAAAUGGAAAUCAGAAGAUAUGAAGAGUGGGAUGGAAAAUGAAGAGAUCCAGCUCUCAUUUCUCAGUGGGAGUUUGUCAUCACAUUUGAUCCUCCUGUCAGUUCUCUCCCUCUUUUCCUUUCCCUCUUUUUUAUCCUCCAUUUCCUUCAGUCAUCUCACAGCAAAGCUUUGAAGCUCACUGACGCAUCAAAGAGAAAUGUUAUUUGUUCAAGUCGGUCUGAACCUUUCUUCUCCACUUUCACUUCCUUUGUUUUCACCCUCUUCUCUCAUCUCAAAUGUGCUGUUCUCUUUACUCUGCUCAAUUGUUUAUUGCUCAUAUUUUUUACAGUGUAUGAAUACAACUACGGAUUUACUUUUAUCCUGAGAACUUGAAGGGCAUACAAUAUUAAAACUUCAUGACAUCUUAUGUCAAACUGUUCUUUAUUUUAUCUCAUAAAGUUUAGUGUAGUAUUAGUUUGUGCAUAGCAGGCAGUGUGUUAACUCAUUCUGCUAAAAUAACUGAUGCAGUUGAAGCAGCAGGUUAUCACAGUGUCUGUGCCUGAGUCAGCUGUCUGAAGGACCAACAUGUUAAGUGCAUAAGUGCUCUGCUGAUAACAGCGAUAGCUUUGAGUGCUACCUUUUGAAAGUCACAAUAUCCUAUUCUUUUGUGUCCUGAUCAUAGCCGUACAUGCUGUACAUGUCUAUAAUGCAAAAAAGAC